GACGACCCUGGCGGCGUGCCUAAUACAUGCAAGUCGAACGAGUGGCGGACGGGUGAGUAAUGGCUGGGAAACUGCCUGAUGGAGGGGGAUAACUACUGGAAACGGUCGCUAAUACCGCAUACCAUCGGAUGUGCCCAGAUGGGAUUAGAUAGUAGGUGGGGUAAAGGCUAACCUAGGCGGCGGUCCCUAGCUGGUCAGAGAGGAUGACCAGCCACACUGGAACUGAGACACGGUCCAGACUCCUACGGGAGUCAGCAGUGGGGAAUAUUGCACAAUGGGCGCAAGCCUGAUGCAGCCAUGCCGCGUGUAUGAAGAAGGCCUUCGGGUUGUAAAGUACUUUCAGCGGGGAGGCGUUACCAACAGAAUAAGCACCGGCUAACUUCGUGCCAGCAGCCGCGGUAAUUC
rnacentral:rRNA from 1 species